AACCAAAGCAAAAGCCUCACUCCAGUCCCUUGCCGCGCGGACCAAACUCAACUGUACGUCUUCCAGCAAAAUUCCUCCCCUUCUACAGCUUUCUCCUUCUCUUCCUCUAGGGUUUCUUUCCUCUCUCAGAAACUAAAAAAACAACAACAGAUCUCCAUUUUUCACGAUGUGGCGCUUGCUUUGGCGAUCCAUCGAUCGCUUCUCUCUUCAACACUUCAAAUCUGUAGUUACUGAAUUGCGGCAGAUCAAAGUUGUCGAUGACCAGAACAGGGAUGCAGUUGUAGAUCUACUACAAACUAUUCUAGAGAUAGUGACAUAUGGGGACAGAAAAGAUCCAUCAAUAUUUGACUGUUUUAUGGAAUACCAAGUCUUAGCAGAGUUUGUACGGGUACUAAAGAUCAGUACAAGUUCAACAAUUGAGGCUCCAUUUCUUCAGUAUCUAAGCAUAAUGAUUCAAAACAUGGAUAGUGAACACGCAAUUUACUAUUGUUUAAGCAAUGACUAUAUCAACAACAUCGUAGAACAUCAAUAUAACUUCAAUACAGGGGAUCUUGCUCUUUAUUAUGUAUCUUUCUUAAGAGCAGUGAGUAGUAAAAUAAGCAGAGACACACUUUGCCUUCUUGUUAAGGUUCAUGGGGAUGUAGUGGUCUCAUUUCUCCUGUACAGUGAGGCUCUUAAAUUUGCUCAACAUGAGGAAAAGAUGAUUCUAACAGCUAUACGUGCAUUAACUCAACAUAUACAAUAUUUGUGACAAUAAUGUCUAUCAAUUUAUAACAACUCCUCUAGCCUCGAUUUACUUCUCAGACUUGGUUUGUAGUUUAAGGGAGCAAUGUCUACAACUAGAUGCCCUUGUCCAUUCCACAGAGGAAAAAUGUACUUG